UACGGAGGGAGCUAGCGUUGUUCGGAAUUACUGGGCGUAAAGCGCGUGUAGGCGGAUGAGCAAGUCUGCUGUGAAAGCUCCUGGCUUAACCGGGAGUGGUCGGUGGAAACUGCUCGUCUGGAGGACGGUAGAGGUAGGUAGAAUUCCCGGUGUAGUGGUGAAAUGCGUAGAGAUCGGGAGGAAUACCUGUGGCGAAGGCGGCCUACUGGGCCGGACCUGACGCUGAGACGCGAAGGCGUGGGGAGCGAACGGG
rnacentral:rRNA from 1 species